rnacentral:rRNA from 1 species
GAUGAACGCUGACAGAAUGCUUAACACAUGCAAGUCAUUGGCGAAGCUGCGCUUGCGCAGUCUAGCCAAGGCGGACGGGUGAGUAACGCGUAAGGAACUUGCCCUGCAGACAGGGAUAACAGACGGAAACGACUGAUAACACCUGGUAUUGUCAGGCUGGCGCAUGCCGGCCUGAUGAAAGGAGACGCUGCAGGAGAGCCUUGCGUCCUAUUAGCUAGUUGGUGGGGUAACGGCCCACCAAGGUGAUGAUAGGUAGCCGGCCUGAGAGGGUGAACGGCCACAAGGGGACUGAGAUACGGCCCUUACUCCUACGGGAGGCAGCAGUGGGGAAUAUUGGACAAUGGGGGCAACCCUGAUCCAGCAAUUCUGUGUGCACGAAGAAGGUUUUCGGAUUGUAAAGUGCUUUCAGCAGGGAAGAAGAAAGUGACGGUACCUGCAGAAGAAGCGACGGCUAAAUACGUG